AUACCAUUCACUGUUACCCAAUUUGUAACAGGUGAAUCCCAAAUCUGAUUUCCUAGGCAUAAGAAAACUGACAAAGAGAAACAUGGAUUUCAAAGUUCAACACAAAGCUAAGUACAGAUUAAAACAGAAGAGAGAAUUUUGUACCUUUAGCAUUUCUAGGAACACUUUGAUUUUAAUGCAUGGCACAUGAGGUUUUUCAUUUUCCAGCAGAGGUUUGGUAAUGAGUCUGGAUCUUGAUCUCUGUUCAUACUUUUUAUAGGCCCAACCGAGUUUAAACUGACAAGUUUGAGGUUUAUUUCCUCAUUUCUUUAAGGAGACACAACACAAGGUUUCUGGACCUCAGAUCUACCUGUUCUUUUUUCUUAUACUUGUUGAACUGGGAUUCAGGGUCCUACACAGAGGCUACUCUUGGCUAUGCUGUGGUCACAUGGACCAGCAGUAGGCAGAAUUUCCUGAUUCCUGAAGAGACUCCUAUGAAAAGCCGGCCUGCAAAGGCAUGGACCCGUGACCCAGCCCUCACUCUUCGUCACUGCCAUGCACCCCCUACGGGAGAGUACAGGUGAAGGCCAUGGUUGCUAGCCCUGAAGGAAGAGACAACGGCUGCUAAAAGGGAUUCAAAGGUGAGUGCUACUUGGUGUGUGGGAACCUCUUACAGUUUUUAAUGUAACAUUUUUUAUGUUUUAUGUAUUUUUAAAAAAUAGAGUUUAAUUUAAAAAAAACAGUUAUUAGAAGU
rnacentral:lncRNA from 1 species